AUGGACAGAAUUUUUCUAUUAAUAGUCUUGGUGUUUGCCCCUUUAUGUAUCCUCUCUCAGACAAUACAAGAGUCUGGUCCUGGAACUGUGAGACCCUCAGAGUCACUCAGACUGACCUGCACAGUUUCUGGGUUUGAGCUAACUAGCUAUCAUGUGGUCUGGAUCAAGCAGCCUCUUGGGAAGGUGUUGGAAUGGAUUGCAAUAGUAUGGGCUGAUGGGAGCACAGCUGUUACUGAUUCACUUAAAAACAGAGUUACAGUUACUAAAGACAAUGGGAAGAAGCAGGUCUACCUCCAGAUGAAUGGGGCUGACGUUAAGGACACUGCCAUGUAUUACUGUACAGGAAACACAGUGACAGAAGAGAAUAAGAAACUCAGACAAUUUCAGACUGCAGGCUUGCCAUGCACAGAAAUGUAA